AAAAAAUGCAUUUGCAGUAUUGAAGUGUAACAUUGCAGGAUCCUUUUAGAGAAAUAUGGCAGCAGGAAGUUGCCAGAAAGUCUUAUUUGCCUUGCUGAAAUGUCUGUCUGCCUUAGAUGUGUGUGUUCUGAGGAUGUUUAGUUCAAGAGAGGAUGAUUUUGUCACAAGACAUUCAGAGCCCCAUAUUUUGUGA
rnacentral:lncRNA from 1 species